GUGGGGAAUCUUGCGCAAUGGGCGAAAGCCUGACGCAGCCAUGCCGCGUGAAUGAUGAAGGUCUUAGGAUUGUAAAAUUCUUUCACCGGGGACGAUAAUGACGGUACCCGGAGAAGAAGCCCCGGCUAACUUCGUGCCAGCAGCCGCGGUAAUACGAAGGGGGCUAGCGUUGCUCGGAAUUACUGGGCGUAAAGGGCGCGUAGGCGGACAGUUUAGUCAGAGGUGAAAGCCCAGGGCUCAACCUUGGAAUUGCCUUUGAUACUGGCUGUCUUGAGUACGGGAGAGGUGAGUGGAACUCCGAGUGUAGAGGUGAAAUGCGUAGAUAUACGGAGGAACACCAGUGGCGAAGGCGGAUUACUGGACGAUAACUGACGCUGAGGCGCGAAAGCGUGGGGAGCAAACAGGAUUAGAUACCCUUGUAGUCC
rnacentral:rRNA from 1 species